GCUUGUCUCAAAGAUUAAGCCAUGCAUGUCUAAGUACAUACUUUUGCACGGUGAAACCGCGAAUGGCUCAUUAAAUCAGUUAUGGUUCCUUAGAUCGUUCAUAUUACAUGGAUAACUGUGGUAAUUCUAGAGCUAAUACAUGCAAAAAGCUCCGACCGUAUGGGAAGAGCGUAUGGCCUUGUGCCGACGACGUUUCCUUCGAAGGUGUGCCCUAUCAACUGUCGACUGUGAUAUAGACGCUCACAGUGGUUUUGACGGGUAACGGGGAAUCAGGGUUCGAUUCCGGAGAGGGAGCCUUAAAAACGGCUACCACAUCCAAGGAAGGCAGCAGG
rnacentral:rRNA from 1 species